CCUUUGCUGUCCGCAGAUCGGUUUAUCCUUCUCAAAGUCCCAUUUGGACAACAGCACUCUGACCCAGAACUAGCUGUCUGUUCUCCUGGACUAGGGGGCCAGCCAGAUCCAGCAGGCUACCAGCCAGACUCUCCAGGCUGGCAGUGUGAUGGGCAAAGGAGGAUCAGAUUCCCAGAAAAGGAGACAGCUGCCACCGAGGGUGACAGAGGACCAACGGCCUCUGCCACCGGAGAACAUACAGAGAGAAAGUGCUCCCUGCAAAUCCUGUCUAUUUUCUCAGCAGAGCUACGGAGAUGGCAAGUUCCCCUGGCCUGGACCCACGCCUUUGAGGUGCAGGGUCUGCUCUGGCCUGCACUGUCUCCUGCCUCUCUGGGCCUGAAUGGAGGAGGGUGAGCUCCUGUCCUGACAAAGAAAUAAGUAACAAAACUGAAAACAUUUCAAGUGUGCUAACGGACGUCGAGCCUACCGACUCUCUGUGCAUAUGAAGGUUCUAAGAGGAGAGCAAGGACCCCCAAAGGCAAGAGACCCACUUCCUGCAAGCCCCUGGAUACCACGGCCCCUUCAGCACAGGCUGAAACAGUAAAAAAAUAAAGUGAUUGCUUUCGACCCUGAA